GAUGAAGAACGUAGUGAAAUGCGAUACGUAAUGUGAAUUGCAGAAUUCAGUGAAUCAUCGAGUCUUUGAACGCACAUUGCGCCCCCUGGUAUUCCGGGGGGCAUGCCUGUCCGAGCGUCAUUGCUGCCCUCAAGCACGGCUUGUGUGUUGGGCCUCCGUCCUCCUCCCGGGGGACGGGCCCGAAAGGCAGCGGCGGCACCGCGUCCGGUCCUCGAGGGUAUGGGGCUUCGUCACCCGCUCUUGUAGGCCCGGCCGGCGCUUGCCGACACAUCAAUCUUUUUUCCAGGUUGACCUCGGAUCAGGUAGGGAUACCCGCUGAACUUAAGCAUAUCAAUAAGCGGAGGA
rnacentral:misc_RNA from 1 species